GUGGGGAAUUUUCCGCAAUGGGCGAAAGCCUGACGGAGCAAUACCGCGUGAGGGAGGAAGGCUCUUGGGUUGUAAACCUCUUUUCUCAGGGAAGAAAAAAUGACGGUACCUGAGGAAUAAGCAUCGGCUAACUCCGUGCCAGCAGCCGCGGUAAUACGGAGGAUGCAAGCGUUAUCCGGAAUGAUUGGGCGUAAAGCGUCCGCAGGUGGUUUUGUAUGUCUGCUGUUAAAGCGUGCGGCUUAACCGCAUAAGGGCGGUGGAAACUACAAGACUAGAGUACGUUCGGGGCAGAGGGAAUUCCCAGUGUAGCGGUGAAAUGCGUAGAGAUUGGGAAGAACAUCGGUGGCGAAGGCGCUCUGCUAGGCCUGUACUGACACUGAGGGACGAAAGCUAGGGGAGCGAAUGGGAUUAGAUACCCCAGUAGUCCUAGCCGUAAACGAUGGAUACUAGGCGUUGUCUGUAUCGACCCGGACAGUGCCGUAGCUAACGCGUUAAGUAUCCCGCCUGGGGAGUACGCAGGCAACUG
rnacentral:rRNA from 1 species